UGGCUCAGGACGAACGCUGGCGGCGUGCCUAAUACAUGCAAGUCGAACGGCUUUUCUAUGGAAGCUUGCUUCCACUGAGAAGAUAGUGGCGAACGGGUGAGUAACACGUGGGUAACCUGCCCAUAAGAGGGGGAUAACAUCCGGAAACGGGUGCUAAUACCGCAUAGUUUUCUUGAUCGCAUGAUUGAGAAAGGAAAGACGGCCUUUGUGCUGUCGCUUAUGGAUGGACCCGCGGCGUAUUAGUUAGUUGGUGAGGUAACGGCUCACCAAGACGAUGAUACGUAGCCGACCUGAGAGGGUGAUCGGCCACAUUGGGACUGAGACACGGCCCAAACUCCUACGGGAGGCAGCAGUAGGGAAUCUUCCGCAAUGGACGAAAGUCCGACGGAGCAACGCCGCGUGAGUGAAAGAAGGUUUUCGGAUCGUAAAACUCUGUUGUCAGAGAAGGACAAGUUGGAGAGUAACUGCUCCAGCCUUGACGGUAUCUGACCAGAAAGCCACGGCUAACUACGUGCCAGCCGCGGC
rnacentral:rRNA from 1 species